GAUAACAUAAUUGUUGGAUUACUUAACGGAAAUUGCAACACAUGUAGUUGCACUAAACAAAUCACUCCUCGUAAAAGGUUCAUCGAAUCUUGUCCCAUCUCCUUCUCAAUCGUCCCUUCUCCCUUCAUCUCUUUUCUCCAAAUUCUAAGGUCACACUUACACAUAUACUUGGUUUGUUUCCAUUUCAUGUUUUCAUUUAUAUAUGUAUAUGCACGAUUUCCCUUCAUUUAUGUGUGUAACUAUUCGCUAGCUGCUUCAAUUGAAACCCAUUUAGGAAUUUUUUUAGUUUCAAUUAGUUUUACUCAGAUCCCAUUGUAGCCCAUUUUCAUCACAAUUAACAAUGUUUUGGGUUCUGGGACUUCAUUAUUUUUGUCUAAGUGGUUAAGAUUCAAUUCAAGUUUAAAUUUUUAUAAACUUUGCUUUAUACUUUCGAUUUUGGGUUUUUAUUGAUGUGAUGUGAGCUAAUAAUUGAUUUGAUGUAGAGGAUUGAGAGGAGAGUUUUCAGGACACUAGGAUUUGUGAAUAUUGCUAUAUUGGGGGAUAUAAUAAGUGAAACAAAAGAAACAACAACCAAUGACGACUACACCUUACGCGGUGAGGUCGGCUAAAGUCGAGUAAGUGAAAAAAGGAAAGAAAUAAACAAUUAAGGAGUGGAAAAAUGAAUGAUAAAUAAGCGUGAAGUAAUUGAUAUUGCGAAUGUAGUUUAACAUGUAGUCAGAAGAAACAAAAGGCAAUGAUGAAUGGUUUGUUUGUGAUUAUUUUUGCUCCAAUAGAUGUAGCUAAACUUUGAUGAUCUGGUUGGGUCUAUUAUGGUUUUAAGUCUAAAUUGCAAGCUAGGCAAUCAAUCAUUGAAUUAAUUUUUGGUUCAUCAACCACUAAACCUGAUGCUUUUCAGAAACCCUUGAUAUUAGUUAUUAACCUCUUGAGUCUUGAACAUUUAUCUCCGUUCUCUCUGUCUUUAUUUAUUGUUGAUACUUCAAAACCAUAUGAAAGCAGCUUAUAUAUGUUGAUGGUGGCUAUAAAAAUUAUUUGAAAUGCUCCUGCAUGAAUUCCAGAAUAAACUAAUCUUUGGUUAUAUAUUGACGAAAGGGCGUUGCUAACUAGUGCCUUAUUGAGUCAAUGAUAAGAUAUUAUUGGAAGGUUCUUUAUGCCAUUAUAUGGGGAGUUCAAUAGGAACCUUCCAUCAUUUAAUUUCUUUACUAAGACUAGCAAGCAUUUUUGUAUUUAGAAAAUGUAGAAGACGAAGAAUAUGCUUAAAAUCUCUGUAUUUCUUGCUAAUAGUCCUUUGGACAUAUCUUAAUAAGUAAUGUAUUUAUUGCUAAUAGUCCUUUGGACCGUAGUUACACGGUUCACUCAUUUAUCUUGUGCACCUUUUACCGAAUUCAGUGUACUGCGUAUUGAGUUUGUCAUAAAGGAAGUCUUGUAAUAGUAACAAACUGUGUACCAUUUAACUAUGCUUUGGACAUAUCUUAAUCAGUAAUGUCUUGCCAGUAAGUUUACACUUUUAGUGGAUCAUCUUAUUUUCGUCAUCAUCAUGUACUAAGCUUGUAUCUUAGGGUUUAUACUCUAUGAUAGGAAUGCUUAUAUAUCUGGUGCUCCGUAUUCAAUUCAUCUCAAACUUUUGAUGCAUGUUGGUUAAUUAUAAUGUUCUUUCUUCCCAUAAUUUACAUUAUAUGUCCUGCACUCUAGGUACUGGCUUGAAUUUGGUGCUCUUUGUUUACUAGUACUCGAGUCUUAAUUUUGGCGUAAACUGCAGCUUAAGACCACAAUGAGUCUGGCAUGUCUUGUGUGUCAUAGUGUGGAUUCUCCAUCACCUUCACACUCGUUCAGGAGUUACUCUGUUUCAAGUGCAGAGAAUCAAGGAAGAUGUCAUGCUAUUACAGCUUGCUUAAACAAGAAAGUAUCUCUCCCGCCACCUACAAUUAACUCUUCUAUAGCAUCAUCGUCAUCCAAAGUCACCCCCCAGCCAUGCAUUUCGAGUAACGGCGGGAUACCGGGUGCGCCUAGGCUUGUGCGAAGUCGUGCAGUGACAAGGGACCGAGUAAGAAAUUGGAACUUUGAUGAAGUUGUAAUGGAGCCCUAGAUGAAAAAUGAGAUAGGAUAUCACCAUGGAGUUUUCUUGUGGGAUAGUUUAGAUAUGCUUAUAUUUUCUAGUCUUGUGGAAAGAAGAAAAGAAGGAUUGCAGUAGAAGAUGAAGUUGAAGUCGAGGAGAAGAGAAUUGUAUUAAGAGAGAGUAGUCUAUCAAUGAAUAUUCAGUGCAUUAGAAUUGUAUUGUAUAAUCCUUCAAUGAUUACAAACUAAUAUACAACUUUCCAAAAACAACUUCAACCAACUUAC
rnacentral:lncRNA from 1 species